rnacentral:lncRNA from 1 species
CAGGAAAACUGGCAAAGAUGGAGCUGGAUUACGAACGGGAGUAGCCUCCCGGACGCCGCUCCAGGACCAUCCCACACCCCGCAAGGCGGGGGAGACCGGGGGACGAACCGAGGAAGAGAGUACUGGAGACAACACUUCUUCCACUGGGCAACUUCUCUGACCAAGCUAUGGUGAAAGAUGUUUCGCAAAGGCAAGAAGAGACACAGCAGCAGCAGUUCCCAGAGCAGUGAAAUCAGUACAAAGAGCAAGUCUGUGGAUUCCAGCCUUGGAGGGCUUUCAAGAUCCAGCACUGUCGCCAGCCUCGAUACAGACUCCACUAAAAGCUCAGGACAAAGUAACAGCAAUUUAGACACGUGUGCUGAGUUCCGAAUAAAGUACGUUGGUGCCAUCGAGAAACUGGCUGUGUCUGAGGGGAAGAGCCUCGAAGGACCACUAGACCUGAUAAAUUACAUAGAUGUCGCCCAGCAAGAUGGAAAGUUACCUUUUGUUCCCAUGGAAGAGGAGUUUAUUCUGGGCGUUUCUAAGUACGGCAUAAAAGUCUCGACCAUGGAUCAGCAU